GAUGAACGCUAGCGGCAGGCUUAAUACAUGCAAGUCGAGGGGGAUUAUUUUUGUAGCAAUACAGAGAUAUGAGACCGGCAAACGGGCGCGGAACACGUACGCAACCUUCCCAAAACUGGUGAAUAGCCCUCCGAAAGGAGGAUUAAUACACCGUAACAUAAUGAAGUGGCAUCACUUUAUUAUUAUAGCUCCGGCGGUUUUGGAUGGGUGUGCGCCUGAUUAGGUAGUUGGCGGGGUAACGGCCCACCAAGCCUGCGAUCAGUAACUGGUGUGAGAGCACGACCAGUCACACGGGCACUGAGACACGGGCCCGACUCCUACGGGAGGCAGCAGUAAGGAAUAUUGGUCAAUGGACGAAAGUCUGAACCAGCCAUGCCGCGUGAAGGAUGAAGGCCCUCUGGGUUGUAAACUUCUUUUAUCUGGGACGAAAAAAGGCGAUUCUUCGUCACUUGACGGUACCAGAGGAAUAAGCACCGGCUAACUCCGUGCCAGCAGCCGCAGUAAAAC
rnacentral:rRNA from 1 species